rnacentral:rRNA from 1 species
AUGGUUUCAUUUCCUCAGAGCUCCGACGAAGCCAGCCACCUGUUCGACGGAAUGCCUCCUGGUGAGAAGGUCGAGAAUGCGCCCCCGGCGAGCGGCUCCGACAUCAUAGGAACCCUCCCUGAUCAUAUUCUCCACCAUCUGCUCUCCUUCCUCCCAGUGCAGGCGGCCGUGCAGACGUGCGUGCUCGCCCGGCGCUGGCGCCACCUCUGGCGGUCCACCACGGGCCUGCGAAUCGUAGGCCUUGACGGUGCCGAGUCUGUCGAAGACCUCCGGGUGUUCGUGGACCAUGUGCUGAUCCUGCGUGAGCGCACCGACCUAGACACUGUUGAGAUGAUAUUCGAUGAAUGCUCGGACGACGAAGAGGUCUAUGUGAAGCUAUGGACCCGUUUUGCUGUCAUGUCCAAAGUCCGUGCGCUCACCCUUCAUAUCCAAGCCCCUCCAUAUUUAUGGUUCGAUGUCCUGCCUCUUGUCUCUCGGCAUCUGAGAACAUUAGAUCUGGAAGGUCUAUGCGUACAACUGAGCUUUCUUGAUUUUGCUGGCUGCCCAGCACUGGAGGAUCUGAAGAUGAACCUUUGUGACAUUUCUGUUGAGAAGAUAUCGUCCCGUUCCCUGAAGCAUUUGAGCAUUACUAAGUGCUGCUCCGAUUGCGAGCUCCAUGUUUCUACUCCAGGCCUUGUCUCUCUGAAACUAGAUGACUUUACCGGCACAACUCCUUUGCUUGAAAACAUGGCGUUGUUAGAGACAGCAUAUGUUUAUAUUGGCGAUUCCUGUGAAGAUUUCUGUUUGAAUUACGACUCUGGUGUUUACUGUGGAGCUAGUAAUAUUACAUGUGAGAAAUGUGAUCUUUUUAAUGACAAUUGUGGAAGCGAUCUUGUGCUUCUAGGUGGUAUCUCUAGUGCUAAACAUCUGAAGUUGAUAUCUGAAUUUGGAAAGUUCAUUUUCUCAAGAGAUUUGAAAUACUGCCCUACGUUUACUAAGUUAAAGACAUUAUUACUCAAUGAGUAUUGGUGCGAGGCUCCUGGCUUGGAUCCACUAGCUUGCAUUCUGAAAAACUCACCAGUUCUAGAGAAGCUCACUCUUCAACUUUUUUCCAAGGGACCAAAUCAUAAAGUGGAAAUGAAAGGAAGCUUCAGUUCAAUGGAAAGAUCAUCUGCAAUACCAGAGCACCUUAACAUAGUUGAAGUCAAGUGUACUGUGGUGGAAGAGAGGAUUCUCAAAGUUUUGAAGUUCCUGUGUGCAUUUGACAUACGAUUCAGUUUCUAG